GACAGAGGUGCCAAGCGUUAGGCGGAAUCACUGGGCGUAAAGGGUGCGUAGGCGGGUCUUUAAGUCAGGGGUGAAAUCCUGGAGCUCAACUCCAGAACUGCCUUUGAUACUGAAGAUCUUGAGUUCGGGAGAGGUGAGUGGAACUGCGAGUGUAGAGGUGAAAUUCGUAGAUAUUCGCAAGAACACCAGUGGCGAAGGCGGCUCACUGGCCCGAUACUGACGCUGAUGCACGAAAGCGUGGGGAGCAAACAGG
rnacentral:rRNA from 1 species